AUCCUCUCAGGAUCGCACCUGGAGAGUUUCCAGUUCCCUAACAGUCUCGGCUGUGGGAGGGAGAGUCAAGCAGAGGCCUACCCAUUCCAUUCCUAGCUUGGCCAGUGGCUAGCGAGUGGAAGGCGACCUGCUACAAGU
rfam:Ornithorhynchus anatinus chromosome X1, whole genome shotgun sequence.